GUGAGGAAUAUUGGUCAAUGGACGAGAGUCUGAACCAGCCAAGUCGCGUGAAGGAAGACGGUUCUAUGAAUUGUAAACUUCUUUUGUGCAGGAAUAAAGUGGGUUACGUGUAACCUUUUGUAUGUACUGUACGAAUAAGGAUCGGCUAACUCCGUGCCAGCAGCCGCGGUAAUACGGAGGAUCCGAGCGUUAUCCGGAUUUAUUGGGUUUAAAGGGUGCGUAGGUGGAUUGAUAAGUUAGCGGUGAAAGUUUGCAGCUUAACUGUAAAAUUGCCGUUGAAACUGUCGGUCUUGAGUGCAAAUGAGGUAGGCGGAAUGUGUUGUGUAGCGGUGAAAUGCUUAGAUAUAACACAGAACUCCGAUUGCGAAGGCAGCUUACUGGGAUGCAACUGACACUGAUGCACGAAAGCGUGGGUAUCAAACAGGAUUAGAAACCCCUGUAGUCC
rnacentral:rRNA from 1 species